GACGAACGCUGGCGGCGCGCCUAACACAUGCAAGUCGAACGAGCGAGAGAGAGCUUGCUUUCUCGAGCGAGUGGCGAACGGGUGAGUAACGCGUGAGGAACCUGCCUCAAAGAGGGGGACAACAGUUGGAAACGACUGCUAAUACCGCAUAAGCCCACGGUGCCGCAUGGCACAGAGGGAAAAGGAGCAAUCCGCUUUGAGAUGGCCUCGCGUCCGAUUAGCUAGUUGGUGAGGUAACGGCCCACCAAGGCAACGAUCGGUAGCCGGACUGAGAGGUUGAACGGCCACAUUGGGACUGAGACACGGCCCAGACUCCUACGGGAGGCAGCAGUGGGGAAUAUUGCACAAUGGGGGAAACCCUGAUGCAGCGACGCCGCGUGGAGGAAGAAGGUCUUCGGAUUGUAAACUCCUGUUGUUGGGGAAGAUAAUGACGGUACCCAACAAGGAAGUG
rnacentral:rRNA from 1 species